UAAAGGGUUAAACGGAAAGAGAUUUCCAAAAUGAAAGUGUUGAACAACAGGAUAUUUGCUCAGCACUUCCACAUCGUACAUUUUUAUCAAUCCCUUGAAAGUAAUUAGCUUAAUAAAUACACACUUCUUAACAUACCUGAUUGACCUUUGACCAUAUAGGAACAGCGGUUAUAUCAUACAAUAUUGGGGAAUGUUCGUAAAAUGGGCCCUUUUUCAUCACGUUUAUAAACUUGAUAGCACUAAAAUACAAGUUGCUAUUAGCUUUUUCAUCCACUAUUUUUUUGUUAAGUAUAGCAUCAGGCUUUAUGAUGGAAGAUGAUGCCUUAUCAGCAAGUUGGGCAGAACCAAAAAUAUAAGGAAUAAAAAAAUGAUCAUCAAGCCCCCAAACUCCAUGUGAGCCAGCAGGCUCUAAGCGAUAAGUUUGAACGAGCUCACGACAAACUUCCAAGUAAACAUGGGUUAUGUACAAGGCGAUAGCUUUAUAAUCUGCGGCAUCUAAAAGUCCCAGCAAGUCCAAGCCCUUAAUAAAACCCAAAAAAUUUAACUCAUGACCCGUACCAAAGUCAAUUCUUUGAGAAUUACCAAACGAUCCCAAAAAAUAGUCCAGUAACUCCACUUUUGCCUUACUCAAUGAAUCAGGAAUAAUGAUGUCCAUAAUUUGAGAGGCGGAGUCACGUAGCUUUUCGUGCCAUAUUCGAAAAGCAGGAUUACCAAACCGAUGCCGACCUGAUGCAGGUGGUACAGUUUUAGUAAUUUCUUUAACUCUACACAAUAUUCGUACUAACUUUUCAACUCUUGUUGAGUAUUCCACAUGAUAAUCGUUCACACCCACAGAUGCAAUAUUGAGACGCUGUAAAAAAUCAAAAAUUCGAUAAUAUGCUUUCGAUUGUCGAAACGCCGUCAUAUCGCUCGCCUCCACGAUUAGUUUUUCGGGAGUUUUAAACUGUGAACUUUCAUCAAACCUUUCAUUUUCAAGCUCUAGUAUUGUUUUCUCAUCUACGACUUGCAUUGUAAAGCAAUAAACAAUGAAUCAAUCAAGUUCGCGUAUACGCCAAUAGAUUUACGACACUCACUAAGUUACAGGCUUUGAUGAACGACUCUUUAUUAAAAAAAACCAGGACCAAGUUAAAGAAUAUAACAGCAACUAUAACAGCAUUUAAAAACAGC